ACAUUUCACCAAAACUCAUCCACAUGCAAUGUUCUAGACACCUCUAGAUACAUGUGGUACCAAUAUUUUGGAUUCAGAGAUAACUAUUACCAAGUAUCCACUGACGUAAUCCCCUCAAAUUACGUUCUGCACCAAUUAACACAAUCCCCUCAGAUUAUGUUGUUCACCAAAGACUCGAUAUGACUAUGAAUGCAUGGCCAUACAAGUAAAGACUCG
rnacentral:lncRNA from 1 species